rnacentral:lncRNA from 1 species
GCUUUCAACCCAUUUGGUUUUCAACUUAGCCCGUAUGACCCUUCUUAUUUGCCUAUCUGGCACGUCUUGUUUGCCCAUAUUGCACACUUGUUUGCCCAUCUGGCCUUUUUUUUCUUGCCCAUCUGGCACUUUUUUCUUGCCCAUCUGGCACGUUCACCUCCAUUUGAUUUCACCGGAAAAAUAGAGAACACAACUUCCCCCCGUAACUCUCUCGACUUAAAAAAUCAUUGCUUUUUAAGCAAAAAUAUCUCUCACAAACACGUUCACCUCUAUAUCAUUUCCUGCCUUCAGUAAGCUUCUCCGGCAUCGCCUCACCUUUCACGGCAGCUCCUACUACACAUGCAUCCCAUACUACACAUGCAGCUUUGCCACCAUGCUUUUGCAACGCCUACCUGUAACUAUCUCGUCACACACUUAUUCUGCGGCUCCACCACCACCUGGCGGCGGAACAACGAAACCUGGCUCUGAUACCAUGUAGAAAUAAACUAUAAAACUGAUGACUUCAAAUUAAACAAGAUGAAUAUAUAUGUACAAGAGCAACUGAACUCCAAAGACUACAUUGUAUUUCUCCUGAUAUAUUAAAAGAGAUACAUCACAUAAUAUAUAAAGGCUACCCAACAAAGUGAUAGCAACUAACUAGUGUCCACCUGAACCUAAACUCUACUACUCCAUGAUCCUAAAAACACUCAUUACUAAUCCAAUACUCUCCCACAAUUUCUCUAACUUAUCCUCUACUAAUAAAACAAUUAGUGAUUAUACUAAUUUAUUUAUUUCAAGUUUAGAUUAUUAGAAUAUAAUUCCAACAAUCUCCCCCUUAAUCUAAACUUAGCUUCUAUGCCCGUCUGGCAAGUUCUUCGGUGCCCAUCUGACUUUCUUUAUUGGCCCGUAUGACCUUUUGAACUGAGCCCGUAUGGCUAUUUUGUUUUGCCCGUCUGGCUACGUCUUCAUCUGCCCGUAUGGCUUUCAAUUUAGCCCGUAUGGCUUUCAACCCAUUUGGUUUUCAACUUAGCCCGUAUGACCCUUCUUAUUUGCCUAUCUGGCACGUCUUGUUUGCCCAUAUUGCACACUUGUUUGCCCAUCUGGCCUUUUUUUUCUUGCCCAUUUGGCACUUUUUUCUUGCCCAUCUGGCACGUUCACCUCCAUUUGAUUUCACCGGAAAAAUAGAGAACACAACUUCCCCCCGUAACUCUCUCGACUU